rnacentral:misc_RNA from 1 species
AUGCUGAGUUUCUUUAAAUCCAAUUAAGAGGAUCAUGAGAGCCUCAAGUUUUCUGCAUAGCGGAGGCAGAAAAUUGAGCCAGUACCAUCUCAAAGAUUGUGAAGAACAAAGAUCUUGAUGUGUACUCUACUUAAUGCUACUAUAAACACAAUAGAGGUGCUUUUCUUUUUUCAUUUUUAUUUUUCGUUUUAAUUUGUACUUUUUUUAUGACCUUUUAUAUAUUGCUUGUUUUCGGAAUUAGAAUAAUAGAAUUGAUGAACGGCAAG